rnacentral:rRNA from 1 species
AACGAACGCUGGCGGCAGGCUUAACACAUGCAAGUCGAACGCCCCGCAAGGGGAGUGGCAGACGGGUGAGUAACGCGUGGGAACAUACCCUUUUCUACGGAAUAGCUCUGGGAAACUGGAAUUAAUACCGUAUACGCCCUACGGGGGAAAGAUUUAUCGGGGAAGGAUUGGCCCGCGUUGGAUUAGCUAGUUGGUGGGGUAAAGGCCUACCAAGGCGACGAUCCAUAGCUGGUCUGAGAGGAUGAUCAGCCACAUUGGGACUGAGACACGGCCCAAACUCCUACGGGAGGCAGCAGUGGGGAAUAUUGGACAAUGGGCACAAGCCUGAUCCAGCCAUGCCGCGUGAGUGAUGAAGGCCUUAGGGUUGUAAAGCUCUUUCACCGAUGAAGAUAAUGACGGUAGUCGGAGAAGAAGCCCCGGCUAACUUCGUG